GUUUGAUCAUGGCUCAGGAUAAACGCUGGCGGCGUGCCUUAGGCAUGCAAGUCGAGCGACUUGUGCGGAGCACAAGCAACUUAAGACUGAAGACAAAAGACUGAAAACUAGAAGGUUUUAAGUUUUAGGUUUUGAGUUGCCCGCGCUCCGCGCGAGCAGCGGCAGACGGGUGAGUAACGCGUAGGAAUCUACCCUUUGGUGGGGAAUAGCUCAUCGAAAGAUGGGGUAAUACCGCAUAAGCCUUACGAGGGAAAGGUCGUAACUGGCCGCCGAUGGAGGAGCCUGCGUCCUAUCAGCUUGUUGGUGGGGUAAUGGCCUACCAAGGCAAUGACGGGUAGGGGACGUGAGAGCGUGAUCCCCCACAAUGGGACUGAGACACGGCCCAUACACCUACGGGUGGCAGCAACCGGGAAUCAUUCGCAAUGGGCGAAAGCCUGACGAUGCGACGCCGCGUGCGGGAUGACGGCCUUCGGGUUGUGAACCGCUUUUUUCCGAUGUAGUGUCGGACGAAUAAGCCACUGCUAACUACGUGCCAGAAGCCUCGGUAAGACGUAGGUGGCGAGCGUUAUCCGGAUUUAUUGGGCGUAAAGGGUUUCGUAGGCGCCCGGCUGCAUCUUAUCUUAAAGCCUCCCGCUCAACGGGAGAAAUGGGUAAGAGAUGGGUCGGGUAGAGUCUUGUAGGGGGUGCUGGAAUUCCUAGUGUAGCGGUGAAAUGCGUAGAUAUUAGGAGGAACACCAAGGGCGAAGGCAGGCACCUGGGCAAGCACUGACGCUGAGGAACGAAAGCUAGGGUAGCAAAAGGGAUUAGAGACCCCUGUAGUCCUAGCCGUAAACGAUGGACGCUAGCUGCCCGAGUCUGACUCGGGUGGCGUAAGCUAACGCGUUAAGCGUCCCGCCUGGGGAGUACGGCCGCAAGGCUAAAACUCAAAGGAAUUGACGGGGACCUGCACAACCAGUGGAGCGUGUGGUUCAAUUCGAGACGAAGCGAAGAACCUUACCUGGGCUUGACAUGCUAGCUGCAAGUCUGUCGAAAGGCGGACCGCCUUUGAGGGUGCUAGUACAGCUGCUGCAUGGCUAUCGUCAGCUCGUGCCGUGGGGUGUUGGCUUAAGUGCCGUAACGAGCGCAACCCCCGCUCUGUGUUAAAUCUUCACAGGGGACUGCUCUGAUUUCUAUCAGGGAGGAAGGAGGGGAAGACGUUAAGUCCGCAUGGCGUUUAUGCCCAGGGCAACACACACCCUACAAUGCCCAUGACAACGGGUUGCGACUUCGCAAGAAGAAGCUAAUCUCUUAAACAUGGGCUCAGUUCAGAUUGUGGGCUGCAAUUCGCCCACAUGAAGUCGGAAUUGGUAGUAAUCGCAGAUCAGCAGGCUGCGGUGAAUACGUUCCCGGGCCUUGUACACACCGCCCGUCACACCACGAAAGCUCGCUGUACCAGAAGCCGCUGGGCUAACCCUUCGGGGAGGUAGGCGUCUAAGGUAUGGUCAGUGAUUGGGGUGAAGUCGUAACAAGGUAACCGUA
rnacentral:rRNA from 1 species